UCGUCGCCUUUCCAGAGGGGAUUACUGGGCAGGCUCAGUCUUUCGCCUCAGUCUCGAGCUCUAGCUGGUAGCGAGACGUACGCGCUCCGGUUCUUCAGUACUAGCGGCCGCCAUCGACGCCGUUUGGUUCCUCUGGGCACAUCUGCGCCACUCACCCGCUACACACUCCACCCUCAUAAGCCGCCGCCAUGGUGAAGCUCGCAAAGGCUGGUAAAAAUCAAGGUGACCCCAAGAAAAUGGCUCCUCCUCCAAAGGAGGUAGAAGAAGAUAGUGAAGAUGAGGAAAUGUCAGAUGAAGAAGAUGAAAGCAGUGGAGAAUAUAUUAUCAUUCCUCAGAGAAAAAGG